CUCUGGCUUCCUUGCCCUCCAGGGCCUGGGCCCAGCUCCCCUCCUCACCCUCUCAGGCUGGACCCUGCUCCCCUUGUUGCCUUCCAGUGCGGGACCCCACUUCCCUCCUCGCCCUCCAGGAUCCGGCCCCACUCCCACACUCGCCCUCCAGGGCCUGGGCCCUUCUCCCAUCCUCGCCCUCCAGGGCCUGACCCUGCUCCCCUAGCCUCCCUUCAGUGCGGGACCCCACUUCCCUCCAUACCCUCCAGGGCCUGACCCUGCUCCCUCUAACAUUUCUAAAACCUAUAAUAAAGUUGAUUUCUUAACUCUGGAAAAUUGAAAUUGUGUUAAGUAAAAUGCAGAUCAUGCAUCGGGAGAUCAUGUGCAUUUGGUCAUAAAGUUUAUAAUCACUGUCUAGUUAUAGUGGAGAGUGAACAUGAUGCAUACAACUAUGGUAAAGUCUGAACGCCUGAAUCUAACACCGAACUGUACAUGUAGUGUUAAUGACCAUGCUAAAUUCUAACAGCAUUUGAAUCACUAGAAAUAUUGAAAAGCACCACAAAUAUUUAUAAAUCUCACAUCUGUAUUCACAGUAAUGAUGCUAAAAGUACAAUGUGUAACAUUUCCCAGUACGCGUUUAUAUGCAUUUCCCUUUCACAAACACACAUGAAUGCACACACGUACAAAUCAUAGAAGCUUAGGGGUUCAGAAACAAAUAUUUAUGGACUUUAGGCCUUCAUUAUAGUUUAUUUUAUUAACAAUUGAAAAUAACCAAGUUUAAUACUAAUUUAUAUGUGUUAACAUUUUUGUAACUUUGAACCCACUAUGCUUUCCAGCAUGAUUAGCAAGCCGACAUCUGCUACAUCUUCAAAGGGACUCUUAAAAAUCAAAAGUUUACUAUGGUGCUUAAAACAAUCAGUACAAAGUAGGUGGUUCUGAGAAUGUCUAUAAAUAGUGUCAAUUGCUUGGCUUCCAUUACAUUUGAUUGUUCUCCAAGCAGUGUGGGAACAGGGUAUAAACUGCCCACUUUCAGUUAAAAUAACUAAAAUUGAUUAAUUGGUGUAAUGCUAUUUUUUUUGUGGGGGGGGAUAUACAAUAUAUAUUGUAAGUAUGUUCUUUCAAAUUAGUGAAUAUAAGUAUGUAUUUCCGCCAAGACACUCUGGUAAAAAAAAAAAAAAAAGACCUAAAUGAAAGAUCUCUGUGAGUGAGAUCCCAGUGGAAAGAACAGGUCUUCAAAGAAGGAGGUACCUUUCUCUGAAGGGAGGAGAGAACUUCCACUUUGACUAUGACCUUGUCUAAAUAAAAUAAGAGUCGGUGAACUCAAAAGGCUUCCAUAGCCUUGGAAACUCAUGACUGGAGCCUAGGGAGAUUACUGAUGCCAUAGACAGGAGUGUCAAUUUGUAAAGUCAACAACAGGAGUCACUGUGCACUUACUCCUCAUGUAGGAUCUCUGUCCUUAAUGUGCUGUACAUAGAGACUUAAUGCUAUAACGAGUACUCAAACAGUAUUUUUCACUUUGUAUUUCUAUGUGGGUGCAAACUGUUGAAAUCUUUACUUAAUGUAUACUAAACUGAUCUUCUGUAUAUAUAGAAAAAAAAAAAGCCUGGGAAGGGUAAUCCAGAGGACACAGAAACAACGAGAAGGCGAAGCCUCGUGAGCUCAGCUGCGAAGCUGAUGCGGGGCUGCCCUGCAGCACAGGUGGGCUGAGGUGGGCUCUGGGAAACCAGCCGACAUGGAUUUGCACGUCCCAGGAUCUGUGACUACUGCCCUGUCUCAAGUGGGAAGUCCUUCAGGAGCCUGAGAGCUUAAAGAGCAGACUACACCCUCGAGAGGACUGACCCCGGGUAGAAGGACAGCACAGCAAGGCCUUGUGUGUGGCAGUGACCUCGAUGGAGAAAAGAAGUCAUCUUCUCUGUGAACCUGUGUUGGUGGCGUUCCCUGGGGGAGGUUCUAGAGCAGAUUCCUACCAGCCAACAAAAGCUAAAAGCAUGACGACACCUCUUGACCUGGCUGCAAUUAUCAACUUUUAAAAAAAAAUACUGAUGCACUGGGGUUGGAGCUGUGGCGCAGCAGCUUAAAGUCCCAGUGUGCAGCAGCAGCAUCCCACAUGGGCACCGGUUUGAGUCCAAGAUGCUCUUUUUUUUUUUUUUUUUGACAGGCAGAGUGGACAGUGAGAGACAGAGAGAAAGGUCUUCCUUUGCUGUUGGUUCACCCUCCAAUGGCCACCGCGGCCAGCGUGCUGCGCCCGGCGUACCGCACUGAUCCAAAGCCAGGAGCCAGGUGCUUCUCCUGGUCUCCCAUGUAGGUCCAGGGCCCAAGGACUUGGGCCAUCCUCCACUGCACUCCCAGGCCACAGCAGAGAGCUGGCCUGGAAGAGGGGCAACUGGGACAGAAUCCGGCACCCUGAUCGGGACUAGAACCCGGUAUGCUGGCCCCGAAAGGUGGAGGAUUAGCCUAGUGAGCCGUGGCGCCGGCCCCAUUGUGUGAAUUCUAAACUUCUUACAUUUUAGACUGAGCUCCAUUUUAAGAACAAACUUUUCCUAUUUUUUUUAAAUGUUUUCUAAUUCUUCAUUGUAUUAAAUGUAUUAUUUCCAAAUACUAAGGCCUUAGGCUACAGUCCUCUCUUAAAGGUUAGAGUUUACAAUUAAUUAUUGAAUCCUACAAUAUGUGGGCAUUUAUCUAAAUUAUUUACUUAAUUUAACCAUCUUCACAUGAAUUCUGGGUUAAAGGUCAGGAAACGAAGGAAGUAGGGUUGAAUAAGCAGGUGAGUGGCAGAGGUUGUGCUCUUAACAUCAGAUGAAUGUGGCUUCUUGGGUAACCAAGAGUCUGCUUGUGUGUCUUAGUUAUCAUAGCAAUACUUAAGUUAUCAUAAAAAUACUUAGUAUCAUAAUUAAAUAGAGGUAUUUUCUAAUUCUUCUAUUUUUAAUUUCAAAGAUUUAUUUAUUUGAAAGGCAGAGCUAUAUAGAGAGGGAGAGAAACUAGAAAAAGGAUCUUCCAUCCACAGGUUUAAUCCUUGAAUGGCCACAAUGGCCAGGGCUGAGCCAGGCUGAAUUAAGAAGCCCGAUCUCCAUCUGGGUCUCCCACAUGGCGGCAGGGACCCAAGUUCUUGGCUCUACUGCUUUCCAACAAGCUCCCUGCUAAUUCUAUUGGGAAAGUAGCAGAAGAAUGCAGAUGGAGUUCCUGGCUCUUGGCUUUGGUUGACCCAGCCUAAGACCUUUGUGGUCAUUUGGGGAGUGAACCAGUGGGUGGAGGAUCUCUCUCUCUGUCUCUCCUUCUCACUUUAUCACUUGCUCUGCCUUUCAAAUAAAUAAAUAAUGCUUAAAAAAUGGAGAAUCAUUCUGUUCAUACUUAGACCUCAAGCCUGUGUGUUAAGAACUUACUAAAUUUCAUAUCUAAAAUUGUUUUCUAGAGAGGAUUUUGUCCAUCUUAUUAUAAUAUCAUAUGAUGAGUGGUUAUAUACAGUUCAUGUUUUGUAAGGAGAAAAUUUGACACAUCUCCAAUUAGGUCAUCAGUUGUUUGAAGGCAGAUGGGAAAACCAAGGAAUGUGUUGCGCAUGAUGGAGGUGAGAGUAUUUUACUGCUUCUACUCUCCAUUUGUCCCAAGACUAGCACAGCACUUGGGAAAGCAGUAACUCAGCCAUGAUGAAUACAGUAAAUCACAUGAUUACAUAUAUUUGAAUGAAUGAGUUGGUACUAAUUUUUUUCAGAUCCCAAGAAGGAAAUUACAAGUCUGAAGUCAACAGCAAACCCAGGAAGGAAAGGACAACAUUUACCAAGAGCAAAUCAAAGGACUAGGAGCAGAAUUUGCCCAUCACAACUAUGUGACUAGACUGAGGAGAUACAAGAUAGCAGAGAAUCUGGAUCUCACCAAAAGACAGGAUCAUCUAAAUCUAACAAAUGCCUGUCUGGACCAGCCUGAUGCAGUUGUGACCACUUGGAGAGUGAACCAGCAGAUGGAAGAUCACCCUAUUUCUCUCUACUUCUCUCUCUCUCUCCUCUCUCUCUCUCUCUGCCUUUAAAUCUCUAAAUCUAACAAAUGCCUGUCUUGACUUGGCCAAAGCUUUUCAAGAUGUGAAAGUGUGGUUCCAGAACAGGCGGAUGAAGAGGAAGAGGGUAAAAUUGGGCCAGCUGGGCACUGCUGCCUGAGAAAAGGAACUGGUGAACGUGAAGAAAGGAACCCUGCUCCCUUCAGAGCUGUCAGGGAUUGGUAUGGCCACGCUCCAGCAAACAGGGGACUCUCUGGACAAUGAAGACAGCCACAACAGUGACCACAGCUCCGAGCAUGCACACUUAUGAUCCACACAGACAGGACCAGCUCCAUCCUCAGGAAAGAAACACCGUGAUGGCAAGCCUUACCCAACAGAGUUUACACAGAGAGAUGGCCAUGGCCAUGAUUUUUAAUAUUAUCAAAUUCAGGCAUCAUGGGUCUGUUUUGCAUGAUUUAUAGAGGAAGGAAGUGCCACUUAUCAAAGAUGUUUCCAUGAUGAAAAUCAGAAGGUGAAUUUGCUUUGAAUAGUCCAGAGAUGUUUGGUUGUGUGUAUGACAGUGAGCAGGUAUGUUUGCCUUUGCUUGCACUGAAAAAUUAAACGGGUACUAAGAACAAAUUAUGACACAUUUCUACACGAGAUGCCUCCAGAGUGAAAACGUUGAAGAUGAACUUACUUUACCCUCUCAGAUGUACGAGUUCAUGUUUAUGACAGUGGGCAGGUAUUUGCUUUUGCUUGUACUGAGAAAUUGCUAUCAAGAAUAAAACAUAAAACCUUUUAUCCUGAACAGCCAAAGUGCCUGAGAUCAUUCAAGUAGAUUUUAAAAAGGAUGUAGUUUAACUCUGUAUAUAUUAUCCUUAAGUCAUUUUCCUGUCUUCACUAAUUUUAGCAAUUCAUUCAUAUUAGCUGAUGAAAAUAGGCACUGAUAAUGCCAGCCAGGUCAACUUCCUGCCUUUUUAUGCAUGUGUCAUUCUGGGAAAUCCGUAUGCACUUACUUGUGUACAAGUAGAGAAAAAUACAGUAGUCUAAUACGACAUAUUCUUGUACCACAGACAAAACAAAUGUUAUGUUGCAUUUACUAUCACUGCUGCUAAUACGUUAUUAUACAACUUACCUAGCUCCUCCUUGAUUUAUCCUAUCUUGUAGCUUGAAAAAAAAAUAGGAUCAUAGGCAAAUCAGUUACUUUGUGGAAGGAGCUUUGUUGUGGCAGACACUGUCUGAUUUUAUUUCUAUAAAAUUAAAGCUGUUAUGAAUAUGACUUAAUUAACAAGAAAAUGU